CCUUAUUUAAGGGGGGUAGACUUGUAACACCCCAAAACCCGAAUGUUUAUAUUCGUUAAAUGUUAUGAUCGGGUACAUCAAGAAAUAAAUAACUAGGUUAUUCGUCCUAGUUAAAAGUAUGGUAGAAACAAAUAAGGAAUGAAAGUUGUGUCAAUUCUAAUUAGUGAGAAAACUUGAGGGACCAAAACGGUUAGGAUGGAAAGAUGGGUUUUAUUUAUGAAAAUCAACACACACAAACACACACAUUCGUGUGUUCUAGAAAGGAGCAGGAGCUCUCAUGAGAGCUCAAGAAACCCUAAACGUGAAGAAUCAUCAAAUCGAAGGGCAAAUCAAGGUCUAAAUUCAUGAAUGAACACGGAUUAAUGAUCACCUUCACAAGGGGAUUGUAAGUAUAGGGAUCAUGUCAAGAUGGAUGGAAGCAUGGAAGGUUAACGGGUCAAAAAGAGGCGAGGAAACGGAUGCGAAUACGAACACUAAAGGUUGUACGAGUCACGAGGAUCUUCAAGGAUUAGAGAUCGAGGAUCGAGUCACAAGACAGAUUGUACGGAAACGUUGGUGUUGAAAUUUAGAAAACCCAUGUCAUGCAUUUAAUUGUAAAUGAGUCAAUUGAUGACUUCAUGUGAAAAGGUUGUAUUAAAAUGAAGUUUUAAGUAAGUCAAGGUAAUUAUAAGGAAAGAAAGUUUAUGGCU